AUUGAACGCUGGCGGCAUGCCUUACACAUGCAAGUCGAACGGCAGCGGACCUUCGGGUGCCGGCGAGUGGCGAACGGGUGAGUAAUAUAUCGGAACGUACCUUUCAGUGGGGGAUAACGUAGCGAAAGUUACGCUAAUACCGCAUAUUCUGUGAGCAGGAAAGCAGGGGAUCGCAAGACCUUGCGCUGAUUGAGCGGCCGAUAUCAGAUUAGCUAGUUGGUGAGGUAAAGGCUCACCAAGGCGACGAUCUGUAGCGGGUCUGAGAGGAUGAUCCGCCACACUGGAACUGAGACACGGUCCAGACUCCUACGGGAGGCAGCAGUGGGGAAUUUUGGACAAUGGGCGCAAGCCUGAUCCAGCCAUGCCGCGUGAGUGAAGAAGGCCUUCGGUUG
rnacentral:rRNA from 1 species